ACUCAAAUGGAUCUCCUGUGUUUGCUUGGCAGGUCGAAAUCUAUCCUCUAAAAAUCCAUUUGACAGAAACAAUGUACACAAUGAUGUGGGAGUAUAUCUUUCCAGGAGAGGAGCAACAUUCACAGAGAAGGGAGGAAGUUUGGAAAGUGUCGACAACCUCAGGUUCAAAGCGAGUCAGGAAGGGUUCAUUUGCUGAAGCGGCAGCGUUGCUCUCUACAUCUGAUUUAAGCCAGGGGUCAAAGAAUCAAAACCUAAAGUCAAGCACGAU